AUAAAAAUAAUGCAUUGUAUGCCGGAAGGGAUAAAUCUGGGGCUGAGUACAAGCAAAACAAGACCAAAGGAAGCUACCUGAGCAGGUAUUCCAGAUACUCAUGUCAUACACCAAGGUUGUACCAGUGCCCCUUUCUCUGUGACACAUCCAUCCACUGGAAACUUUCGUACAACUAGCUGAAAGAAGAGAAACAUCCUAUUUCAUGUCACUGGAGCCCUAAUGAUCGCAGCCAUUUCAGGAAAUGCCAUCAAUUACAGUGAGGAGCUCAUUCAGAAGUGAAAGAUGAGUUCCAUUCUCUGUUACUUAGAGGACAAUAGAUUAUAUUGGAUGUAGAUGAAGUUUGGGCAGAAUCAGGGAUCAAUGGCUCCAUCUAAAUUGUUGCACCAAAACACAGACAUACACCUGCUUUUAGAUUUGAAGAGUGAAUCCUCUCUGGAAAAUGUAGCAACUACUCAAAAAAGGUUGGAGGACCAACACUUCUAAGAAGCAGGAGCUGGAGGGAGGAUGGCAUUUCAAGAGGUGGCAAGUGGUCCUUCUUCACAGUCAUAUCUCUCAUUCUGCAAGCCAAAGACUCAAUGGUGGAUAUCCUCCUCCACUGAAUGCAAACUAUUAAGUAAUGAAAAGACAGCACUCCAAGCAAUAUAGAUUUAUAGGCCAACCUGGCAAUCAAGGGUAACUGACAUGAAAAUGGAUUGCUUCACAUUUUAAUUACAAAGAUACUCUUCAGUACCAUAAAUUGAAGAAAACACUAACUUUUUGUGGCUACUGUAAUUGUCAAAGUAUAAUUACCUGUGUUUUCUCACCUACGUAUUUGAGAUAGAGACAAAACCAAGUAAGUUAAUCCACUUAUAAU
rnacentral:lncRNA from 1 species